rnacentral:rRNA from 1 species
CCCUUAGAUGUUCUGGGCCGCACGCGUGCUACACUGACCGGCGCAACAAGUUUCUUUCCUUGGCUCGAUAGGCCUGGGUAAUCUUUGAACGCCGGUCGUGAUGGGGAUAGAUCCUUGCAAUUUUUGAUCUUCAACGAGGAAUUCCUAGUAAAUGCGAGUCAUCAUCUCGCGUUGAUUACGUCCCUGCCCUUUGUACCCACCGCCCGUCGCACCUACCGAUUGAAUGGUCCGGUGAAGCCUCGGGAUUGCGAAUGCUUCGUGCGGACGCGAGAACUUGGCUAAACCUUACCAUUUAGAGGAAGGUGAAGUCGUAACA